ensembl:snoRNA
UGUUGGUAUGCUGGACCUAAAAACAAACAAACAAACAAAACUCUUCCCACUGGGUUUUUUUUCUGCUACCUUGCUAGCGUUCAGCCUAUUGGGAACAUUU